AAUUUUGGACAAUGGGCGCAAGCCUGAUCCAGCCAGGCCGCGUGAGUGAAGAAGGCCUUCGUGUUGAAAAGCUCUGUCGGACGGAAAGAAAUCGCGCAGACUAAUACCCUGCGCGGAAGACGGAACGGUCAUAAGAAGCACCGGCUACCUACGUGCCAGGAGCCGCGGUAAUACGUAGGGGCCGAGCGUUAAUCGGAAUUGCUGGGCGUAAAGCGUGCGCAGGCGGUUGAUUAAGACAGGCGUGAAAUCCCCGGGCUUAACCUGGGAACUGCGCUUGUGACUGGUCAGCUAGAGUACGGCAGAGGGGGGUGGAAUUCCACGUGUAGCUGUGAAAUGCGUAGAGAUGUGGAGGAACACCGAUGGCGAAGGCAGCCCCCUGGGCCGAUACUGACGCUCAUGCACGAAAGCGUGGGUAGCAAACAGG
rnacentral:rRNA from 1 species